GGCCGCGGAGAUCGCGUCCAGGUACGCGGCCCUGGCAAGGCCGGGGUCUACGGGUUCGAAUUUCCUGGCCGCGGUCA
rnacentral:tRNA from 2 species